AUUCAAGUAGUUUAAAUAAAACAUUAAUUUGUGGAAUUAAGGAUAUGGGGUUUCUGUCUUGGAUA
rnacentral:tRNA from 1 species